CAAAUACUAGGGGCUUACCAUACUUGCCACCAUUUACAACCAAAAUUAAAAGGCAAAGACUGAAACUUUCCUUUUUUUGAGUUGUGAUCACCACCACCACCGCCACCACCCUCAACAAACCUCCCUCAAAUUCCUACAAUUCUUCAGCUACCAAGAUUUAUUCUUUCAUAAAUCAAGUCUCUGAAAUAAAUCCACAAACCCUCCUUUUUUUUUCGUUAAAAGGGUUUUGAUCUUCACUCCUUGCUGUGUUUUCUAUGCUUGGAACUCAGUUUCAAACACCGUUUCUUGUUUAAAAAAACUGUCUUUUUUAGCUUCUUGGAUUUUUUGAGGAUGAAUAACAGGAGGAGACAGAGAGGUGAACUUUAUCAACAUCAAGAAGUUCAAGGGACAACAAGAUCACGUUGUAGAAAACCUCCUCAUCAUCAUGGUAGUUGGCAGCCAACUGUUCCAUCAUGGGAAAAGAGAUUCUGCUAUUCAGUUGGUUCAAUUCCAUGGAGGAAGCUCCUGGAAACCAAAAGAUUUAUGUAUCUCUAUGAGAAUGUAGUUCAGUGGAAUGACUCAGCUGGUGAAGAGGCAUUUCACAAUGCUAAAAACCGAUUUUGGGCAGAGAUUAAUGGCCUACCUUGCAACAUAUCACUGCCUGAUCCUGAUAUUUAUAUUGAUCAAAUUGAUUGGAACUCCAAUGUUGAUCCUGAAUUGCUUUUAGACUUGGAGCGGGAACAGAAAGAUGGUGAUGAGACUAGCAAAGGGGAGGAGGUUGUGAUUAUUGGCAAUCCUCUACUCUUGAAUCAGCCAUUUUCAUGUGCUGGAUGGGGGGAACUUGAGGAGGAAUUUCAAAAGGUUCCUGAUUUGGCAUUGGAUCCUGGACUUGGGGAUUUCAACCAUAAAGCCACCAAAGAUGAUUUUCCCUGGGAAAAGAGUGUUCCUCUUCCUAAUGAAGCCAUGGCUGAAGAUGGAUGGGGAAAUUGUUGGGAUGAUUCAUGCGGUUGGGGCAACAGUGAGUGGGUUGCUAAUAAUGACUGGAAGAAUGUCAGUGAGGGCACUGCUGCUGAGUGGGGAACAUGGGAUGGGCAAGACCAAAAGAGGGAAGGUGCUGUACGUCACAUGUCAAGGUAUAAAACCUCCAGGUUUCACGGUGAUGAAUAUCCAGUAGGCCGUGGAUUGUGGAGGCAUGGAAGAGGGAGGAGGAGGGUAAAUUUUGUUUGUUGACAGCUACUUCUGGGAGAGGCUGUUCAAGGCAGUGGAACUCCAAGAAUCCUCCUGGAUUGCCUGCGUACUUUGGUUGAAUCGGGGCAUAAAGUUUUGCAAGUGUGAAGUAUAUAAUACAACUACUUAGGUUGUCAUGGCAGCUGAACAUGAAAACCCCAAUUCAUCGAAUUUACCGGUAGAAUCUUCUGCUUUUGUUACUGAUGAUGAACUGAUGAUUGAUAGUACUAGUCCUAUUCCACUAGCAAUCCCACCUUCAAUACCGGCUGUGCCUCCUAAUGCUCCGAUACCCACAGUUCCUCCUCGCCCGCUAGUGCCUUUCCCCAUCAGACCACCUGGGGUGCAAAAUGGUGAGAUGAGGACUACUGACUCGGAUUCUGACCAAAAUCAAUUACGUCCCACUUGGACUGCCCUGGGGUCAACUGCAGGUUAUGAAGUUUCAGGAACAAUUCAGAGAAAACAAGUAAUUUAGUAGCUUAACUGAUAAUAGGUUAAUUAGGAGGAGAGGAAAUUUCUUAGUCGAUUGUAUUUCUCAAUCUAGAUAUAAAUAUACAAUUGACCAAAAACCUCGUUAGUGGUUUGGCUUUUGAGAGUAACCACCCAUCCAUGUCUAGGAGUGUGUCCAUAAUAUAAAUAAAUAAAAAAACUAGAUAGAGAAAGGCA